UACGUAGGGUGCAAGCGUUGUCCGGAAUUAUUGGGCGUAAAGGGCGCGUAGGCGGCCUGUUAAGUCGAACGUGAAAUCCCUGGGCUCAACCCAGGAACUGCGUCCGAUACUGGCAGGCUUGAAUUCGGGAGAGGGAUGCGGAAUUCCAGGUGUAGCGGUGAAAUGCGUAGAUAUCUGGAGGAACACCGGUGGCGAAGGCGGCAUCCUGGACCGAUAUUGACGCUGAGGCGCGAAAGCGUGGGGAGCAAACAGG
rnacentral:rRNA from 1 species